AGAGGGGGAUAACAUCCGGAAACGGGUGCUAAUACCGCAUAGGUGAUCAUAGCGCAUGCUUAGAUCAUUAAAGAUGGCUUCGGCUAUCGCUUAUGGAUGGCCCCGCGGCGUAUUAGCUAGUUGGUAAGGUAAUGGCUUACCAAGGCUGUGAUACGUAGCCGACCUGAGAGGGUGAUCGGCCACACUGGGACUGAGACACGGCCCAGACUCCUACGGGAGGCAGCAGUAGGGAAUCUUCCACAAUGGGCGAAAGCCUGAUGGAGCAAUGCCGCGUGAGUGAAGAAGGUCUUCGGAUCGUAAAGCUCUGUUAUCGGAGAAGAACACGGAGUGCAGUAACUGGCAUUCCGCUGACGGUAUCCGACCAGAAAGUCACGGCUAACUACGUGCCAGCAGCCGCGGUAAUACGUAGGUGACAAGCGUUGUCCGGAUUUAUUGGGCGUAAAGCGAGCGCAGGCGGUCUUUUAAGUCUGAUGUGAAAGCCCACGGCUCAACCGUGGAUGGUCAUUGGAAACUGGAAGACUUGAAUGCAGAAGAGGA
rnacentral:rRNA from 1 species